AAUUCUUCUCAUUUAUGUCUGUGUGUAACAGGUGUCAUUUUCAGUGUAGUACAGACAAAUCCCAAAAUAGCUCAGGCUCUUCAGACGCUGCAAAGAGAAAAAAAAAUAGCGGUUACUUCAGCCCUGGUUGUAGUGAAAAGCCCAAAGCUCACAGCCAGCUCCAGAGUUCAGCACUAAAAUGGCAGAUGCCUCUGCGUAGUGAUCUCUCCUGAUUCCGAGGUUUUCAAACGGGCUGCUGGCUCUGUUGUACAUGCAGUCUGACGCAUGAACUCCCUCAUGCAGGGCUGGCUUUCCAUUAGCUCCGCUUUGAUUCCCAGAUGCUCCAUCUACCACUGAUCCUCCUCCACAUUUUCCGGUUUCGAGGCUCCGAGACGGCAGCAGCGCUUCCUCUGCCUGGUGCUGAAGUUGACUGCACUGGAGCUAACACAAGGCAGAGGGCUACGGGAGAGGAGAGCCACUCAGCAGCAGGACUUUGCUUGCCUGGCUGUGCCUGCUGUGCUGCAAUAUGCAGCUGCUGGCGAACCUUUUUGACAGAGAUGAUUGGAUUCUGGAGACUCCCAGAACGCAGCUAUUAGUUCCCCUGCCUACACUGAGCAUUCUGAAUCUGUGUGUGCGGUAACACUUAUUAAUACUGUUCAGAUUAAGUAGAGCCUAUAGCUUCCUAGCACUUUCAGUACCUUAUCCUACACACUGCAUCUGCUCAGUGGCUGAACCACAGUCAGAUCAAUGUCUUGCAACCAGCAUAACAUGAUCACGUGGAUCCAGCAGCAUUUUUGUGCUUUUAUGUCCAGAAGUCCCGCAUCCAUUCCUAUGAGUGGUUCCUUUUAAGUUGCUUUGUGCUACAAGGUAAUGCUGACUGAGUAUUUGCAGGAUGUAGGCCCAGAUCCCUUUAUUUCAGAACAUCAAGCAAUGGUUCCUGACACCGAAACAGUUAAUCGAGAAGCACUAACUCUCUACUGGAACGUGUGUGUGUGUGUGUUUUUGUUUCUUAGAGCCAAGAAGAUUUGCUUUGGUUUUUUUAAAGCAGAAACCACCACAAAGUUGGCUGUGGUUUCAGCUGCACUCAUUUGAGAUUUGUGUUGCUGACUACCAAUCCUAAAAGAGUUAACCCAGCAAGCAUGACUCAGAAGCAGAGAGGGAGAUGCGAGGCUGAGAGGCUCGGAAGGCAGCACAGAAGCACAGGUGAGGAACAUAAUAAUCAUCAAAAAAAGGUGCAGCGUCCAGGAGUGAGGCUCCCUCGGUGUGCCUGGCCCUGGCACUGCUGGCACGGGCUCCCUGGAAGGCUGCAGUUCCGCUGUUAUAACACAGGGAGCAGGCUGGAGAAUUUAGAGCUGCGUCACAGAGCUCAGCGAGAGAGCGAGAGAGCAAGCUCCGUCGAUAGGUCUACCAGCAACAGCCCUGCUGCAGCAAGAGGGGAGAGAAGCAGCCGGAGAGGGAGAGAGGGCUCAAGAAAGAGAAGUAACACCAACACCAGGGACGGAGCUCCUGUCACCAGACGGUGUCAUUUAGAGAACGUAUCUGGGCUCGGUUGGCGUAGGAGGCUUCGCCCAUUGACGAUGCUGGAGACCCGGCGCACUUAAUCCCGCGGGGAGGGAGAGUGGGCAGACACCGAAAGGGUUAACGGAAAGGAAAUUUCUGGAACCUUCUAUUCUGCGGCGCUACACAGCAAGCGGAGGGCUGAACGCUGCGCAGCUGGUGCACGGGCAGAGCUCCUCGGUCCGGUUCGUCUUUCCCACGUACGGUGGAGAUGAAGGACUUUCAGCCUGCAGCCACGUGCAAGAUCUGUCUUCCUCUGGAAGCUGGUUUCACAUGGUGGCUUAGAUUUUCCCACUUUGUAUCUAGCACCAUUUGAAAUCAGUGUUCUAGGAGCAAGAAUUACAGCGUGGGAGAAGAUCAAGCAGCUGCUAACUUCACUGACAGCCUAUCCUCUUAAACCAGCACUUUCCCCCAUCAUUUCUUUUUCUGCCAACCAUCCGUUCUGUAAUGCCAUCUGAUUUCUAGACACUAUACAGUCACUGUAUGCACCCUGAAAGUUAGGGCCACAACAGGAAAAUCUUCCUUCCAAUGUAUUGCUACUUAAUAAACAAUGGCUGCCGAGUUCGAGUUGUUCAGAGUAAAGUCAUCCAAAAGUUGCAUGGAAACCAGCACUGUGCUUCUUACACCCUGACAGGCAAAGAGUACAUUUCUUCUCCUAUCCAGUCACUAAGAAGCUACCAUUUAAUUUACUAACUUGGAGCAAAUGUACUUUCCCUGUGUGCUCUGGGAUCUUCUCAUUGUAGCAUUACCAUUCUGUAGCUUCCAAGGACUUGUUCUGCAAACACAGAAGCUCCCCCUGACAGUUUGAUCUCAACAGUCAACAAACCCACACGUGCCUUCAAUAAUAGUGAUGAAAUCACUCUGAUGCACACAGAAUCCACUCCUUUUCCUAAAAUUACUUUUUUUGGAGCUUAUUGCUGCUCUCUUCCAGUAAUGUUUUGCUAGACAUUUAUAUUUUUGCAUUCAAACCACAAAAAUGAAGCCAAACUAAACUACUUUUGCCUGACCUCGCUGCUGACAAACACGUUUACGUACACAGAAAGGGCGAUCGCUGUGGAUGAAGCACUCAGUAGAGCACUGAAUAGACUUCUCUAAAGAAUGCAUAGCUGUCAUCUGCAAGAAGAUCUUCUCUGAGCCAGAAAAAUGUCUCUUACACAGGCUGACCGAUUUCUCUUGGUGUUCAGAGUCUCAGUUUCUGUCUAGCACCAUUUGAAAUCGGUUAUGAUGUAGGGGGAAAAGCAACAAUAAUGGAAAACUUCAUUCCCCCCAGCCCCAGAGUCCUUAUAAAUAAACACCAGCAGAAGCACGACCUUGCUUCACAAACAUCCUGCGUGCUCUCCUGUUCUCUGAGCCGAAGUUACACCUCUGACCGACCAUCCUGCAGCACAGGAGGACACCCAGCACCAUGGGAUGCUUAAGGGGAAAGCGGAGCAUCUGCUCCAACACCCAACUGAGGUCCCUCACCUCGAGCAAGUCAGGACUCACGCACAGCAGCACAGCCAGCCUCCCUCCUGCCCGCUGUAUCCCCAUUUGUUUGCCUUAAACUGUUAUUUACUCACAGCUUCUUCUUUCAAAUAAAAUUGUGUGCUACUUGGGAUCAGGCUCUGUCUCAGGUAGACAGACGACGUGGUUUCCUGCUGGACAACAUCCAAUCUCUUUGAGUCUCAUUUCAGUCCCAGCUCCCUUUGCACAUCACACACCCUACACUCAGCACUAAUGCUGAUUUUGGUAAUGUGGACAACUACCAACCACUGACACACCAGCAGAUGGCAACAACACGAUGCUUUCAUCACAGCCAGCCUCUCUGCUAAGCACCAAGUUCAAGUGCUCCAGUCUGUAGCAGAUAAUAACAAUCAUGAAUUACAAAAUAAAGCACACUAGUUACUUUUCUAGCCCUUCCUCUGACAGGUUUCACCUUGAGGUAGCUGACUACACAUUUCUGUGCAGAAACAAGAGUACAUUUGGAGCACAAACCUCAUACCUGACUUUUCAUGUACCCAACUCACGUUAUCCUCUAGGAAAACAGAACACAGCCGUCCGCCACACAACAAAUGAAAGACAAACACUUACUGCCAAAUAAUAUCUUUAUUUGUAAUAAUACAAGCCAUCACUCGUCUUUACAUUCAUAAGGAUAUAAAAA